AUGGAGUUUAAUAUCUGGAGAUUGAGUACAUAUUUCAUCAUCAUGUCCUGCGCAUUGGUGAUAGAUGUUGUUACUUCAGAUUUGCAGAUUUACGAUGCUGAGUGUACGUUUAAUGAAAAACCCUCUUGUUGUCGAGUAAAAUGUGACUGGAAACCAAAAACUGAAGAUAACUUCACUUCAGCCACUUGUCGUGUUAAAGGAGAAACCAUGACUUGCAAUCUUGGCAAUGAACAAAAAGUGUGGACCACCCCUUCAAUACCUUACGGAAAAAUUGCCAUAAAUGCUACUUGUAUAAUAUCUCAAGAAAAGAAUAAAAGAGUUAUCUACAAUGUGUCUUGUUACAAGCAAAAUAAAAAACCCAUUUGUUGUGACACACUAUGUGAGGUGUGCAAUCUCACUAUGCUCAAUGCAACAUGCAAAAUGGCAGGAGGAAAAAUUGAUGUGUGCAGUUUUGGUGUUGGUGACAGUCCAAUGCUUGGGUUGUGUUUUAAAAAUUCUUGUAAACAGCCUAAUGGCAAACCUUGUGAUUUCGAAGAUGGUGAUAAGUGCUAUAUCAAUUUAGACUACCAAAGGGCACGUAGAAAUUCAUGGGUCACAGAGAUUGAAUCUACAUGUGCUAAAUGAGAUGCAGCAGAAAAUGGAACCUGUAAUAAUUCUUGUGGAAUUUUCCAUGGCAUGAUGAACAAAUAUGAUGAACACAAUGCUGCUUAGGAAAAGUUCGGAGCAAAAUUGUGAUCAUAAAUAUUUACAUUUGGGUCAACUCUAUGUUUAUAGAAGACUGCAAAAACUGUAAACUGUAAAAUUACAUUUACCUACCUGAACUGUAAUGAACAAAAUAAUAACAACAUGACAAAGAUAUAUGAAAAUAUCUUGACCGGAAAUAAAUAAGACUUAAUAAGAUGUUUUUAGUAAAUG
ensembl:lncRNA